rnacentral:rRNA from 1 species
GACGAACGCUGGCGGCGUGCUUAACACAUGCAAGUCGAACGGAAAGGCCCUGCUUUUGUGGGGUGCUCGAGUGGCGAACGGGUGAGUAACACGUGAGUAACCUGCCCUUGACUUUGGGAUAACUUCAGGUAACUGGGGCUAAUACCGGAUAGGAGCUCCUGCUGCAUGGUGGGGGUUGGAAAGUUUCGGCGGUUGGGGAUGGACUCGCGGCUUAUCAGCUUGUUGGUGGGGUAGUGGCAUACCCAGGCUUUGACGGGUCGGCGGCCUGAGAGGGUGACCGGCCACAUUGGGACUGCGAGACGGCCCAGACUCCUACGGGAGGCAGCAGGGGCGAAUAUUGCACAAUGGGCGGAAGCCUGAUGCAGCAACGCCGCGGGCGGGAUGACGGCCUUCGGGUUGUAAACCGCUUUCGCCUGUGACGAAGCGUGAGUGACGGUAAUGGGUAAAGAAGCACCGGCUAACUACGUG